UACGGGGGGAGCAAGCGUUGUUCGGAUUCACUGGGUUUAAAGGGUGCGUAGGUGGGCAGUUAAGUCAGUGGUGAAAUCUCCGGGCUCAAUCCGGAAACUGCCAUUGAUACUAUCUGUCUUGAAUAUCGUGGAGGUAAGCGGAAUAUGUCAUGUAGCGGUGAAAUGCUUAGAUAUGACAUAGAACACCAAUUGCGAAGGCAGCUUACUACCCGAAUAUUGACACUGAGGCACGAAAGCGUGGGGAGCAAACAGG
rnacentral:rRNA from 1 species